AGUUUUCCGGUGGCGGCGGCGCUAGUUGGUCUGCACGAAACGUUUCCCUUCUCGCUCCGUGUGUCCCAUUCUCCAUCCCACGUCCUCCAGUGCCGGGGUCAUGGUCGCAGCACCCGGCGUUCCCGUUGGCUCUUUUGCCGCUGCGCGGAGCCGGCGGUUUUUCUGUCACAGCACUUGUACGGAGUUUCUCGGCGGCCGAACGUCUCUUUUUUUCUCAGAGACGACGGUUUCUUGGUGACAGUACCGUUGGUUGCGCCGUAACGAAUGUUCUCCUUGACAGCCCCACCAGCUGGCGUCACUCGCAGGCUCCAGACGCCGCCAUUUCGCCAAGCCGAGGUCUCUUGGUUGCGGCACUGCUUCUGGCUCGGUGCCUGUAUUUUCUCGGUGCCUACAGCGCCCAGGUCGCCGAUCUGAGGGCUUCGGAGUACCGGCCGGGCGCGGUGGCUCACGCCUGUAAUCCCAGCACUUUGGGAGGCCGAGGCGGGCGGAUCAGGAGGUCAGGAGAUCGAGACCAUCCUGGCUAACACGGAAAUGUAGACUUAGGUGUAACAUGUACCGGUUUAGAUCUGACAGAGAUAUCACAAUUGUAGGAUUGCAUCUUUUAGCAAGAUAAGGUCUAGAUCUGUCACCCAGGCUGGAGUACAGUGGCAUAGUCCUAGCUCACUGCAACCUCCACCUCCCAGGCUCAAGUGAUCCUACCACCUCAGCCUCCUAAGAAGCUGGGACUAUAGAUGUGCACCAACACGCAUGGCUAAUUUUUGUAUUUUUUGUAGACACCGUGUUUCGCCAUGUUGCCCAGGCUGGUCUCAAACUCCUGAGCUCAAGCAGUCUGCCUGCCUAGACCGCCCAAAGUGCUGAGUUUACAGGUGCGAGCCACCACAGCCAGCCUAUAAAGUAAACGUGAAUAUCUAAGGAACACUGAUGCAAGACCAGCAUGUGGGACCCCAUGUAAGAUUAACAAUGUUUUCAUGGAUCAUUAACCCAUUCUUAUUAAAAAAAUUAUGAAAGAUUAUGAAAAGGUUUACAAAAGUUGUAUCUUAUGGUCAAGAUGAUUAAAAUUUAUUAGAUUUGUCUAUAAUAUCUGAGAAAGAUUUGAUUGGCUUCAUGCUGUCUUUAUUAGCUCUUAUUGUUUGGGAAAGCAAGUCUCAAAGAGUGAAAGGUUUUGGCUUUUAGUUUUUGAAAACUUUGAGUUACUGCUUAACUAAAUGAAUGACUUAUUUUUUACAAUGACCUGUUGUGGGAAGUCAGGGACCCCAAACGGAGGGACCGGCUGAAGCCAUGAAAGAAGAACGUGGAUUAUGAAGAUUUUAUGGACAUUUAUUAGCUCCCCAAAUUAAUACUUUUGUAAUUUCUUAUGCCUGUCUUUACUGCAAUCUCUAAACAUAAAUUGUAAAGAUUUCAUGGACACUUAUCACUUCCCCAAUCAAUACCCUUGUGAUUUCCUAUGCCUGUCUUUACUUUAAUCUCUUAAUCUUGUCAGUUGAGGAGGAUGUAUAUCAUCUCAGGACCCUGUAAUAAUUGCGUUAAGUACACAAAUUGUACAGCAUGUGUGUUUGAGCAAUAUGAAAUGUGGGCACCCUGAAAAAAGAACAGGGUAACAGCAAUUGUUCAGGGAAUAAGAGAGAUAACCUUAAACUCUGACCGCCGGUGAGCCGGGCAGAACAGAGCCAUAUUUCUCUUCUUUCAAAAGCAAAUGGGAGAAAUAUCGCUGAAUUCCGUCCCUGAGAAAGAGAAUGCGCACCUAGGGGUAGGUCUCUGAACUGGCCGCCCCGGGGCGUACCUGUCUCUUAUGGUCGAGAUUGCAGAGGUGAAAUAAACUCCAGUUUCCCAUAGCGCUCCCAGGCUUAUUAGGAAGAGGAAAUUCCCGCCUAAUAAACUUUGGUCAGACCAGUUGAUCUCAAAACCCUGUCUCCUGAUAAGAUAAUAUCAGUGACAAUGGUGCCAAAACUUCAUUAGCAAUUUUAAUUUCGUUUCGGUCCUGUGGUCCUGUGAUCUCGCCCUGCCUCCACUUGCCUUGUGAUAUUCUAUUACCCUGUUAAGUACUUGAUGUCUGUCACCCACACCUAUUCGCACACUCCCUCCCCUUUUGAAAAUCCCUAAAAAAACCUGCUGGUUUCGGUGGCUUGUGGGGCAUCACAGAUCCUACCAAUGUGUGAUGUCUCCCCCGGACGCCCAGCUUUAAAAUUUCUCUCUUUUGUACUCUGUUCUUUUAUUUCUCAAGCCAGUCGACGCUUAGGAAAAUAGAAAAGAACCUACGUGAUUAUCGGCGCAGGUCCCCCGAUAACCUGUGAUCCUGUUUUGUGAUAUCAAGUGUUUUAAGUCUUUGAUGUUUGACAAACUUUCCAAAAUCCAAUUCUAAAUUCAGUCAUUUUCAUCUCAUUAGUUUUUUUGACAUUGAGUCCCCUGAAAUCCAAAGAGACAUAUUUGGCUUAGUUGGUAUAAUCACACAAGAAGUAUUAUCAAAUAUAAAAUGAUAUGUAACCAUCUUUGCAUUGUAUUUAUGUAAAUGUGUUAUUAGUGUUUUAAAAUUGUAUGAGAUUCUUCUGAUUGUGAUAUGUCUUAGUAUAUGUUUUCAGAACUAAUUAUGAUUAUUAUAUUCAAAUGUUAUAUAUCAUAGAUAUAACCACAUUUCUUUGUCAGUUGUGUCUUAAACCAUGGCUAUUGUAAGACUUUUGUCAUCUACAAUUAUUGUUUUACUUAGAUCCUUUCGUAGAGUGGUUUAUAAUCAGUUAUAGAGCUCUGAGACUACCCUUUUUGUUGUUGUUGUUGUUGAUGUUUGCUUUUUGAGACAGGGUCUCAAUCUGUCACCUAUACUGCAGUGUGGUGGCAUAAUCACUGCUCACUUCAGCCUUAAUCUCCUAGACUCAAGCAAUCCUCCCACCUAAGCCUACCAAGUAGCUGAGGCUACAGGCACGCACCAUACACUCAGAGAAUUUUAAAAAUUUUGUAGAGAUAGAGUCUCCCUCUGCUGCCCAGGCUGAUCUCAAACUCUUGGGCUCAAGCAAUCCUCCCACCUCAGCCUCCCAAAGUGCUGGGAUUACAGGCAUAAGCCACCACACCCAAGAUUUUAAUACAUUUAUCAUGUCUUCAUUAACAAAUACCAAGUGUCUAUAUUGUACUACAUAGUGAACAAGGUCCCAGAGAUAAGUAAUCAACAAGCAGACAUGGACUUGGCCAUAAAGUGUUUGACACCUUCAUGGAUUGUAAAAAAAAAAAAAAAGCAUGACAACAAAUAAAUAAAUAAAACCGUGUUUAUAUGAUAAAUGUUAUCAAGAAACUUAACGCAACUUAGUUGAAAAGGUAACUAGGAGGAUAUUAUAUUAGCUACUAUAGUAAGGAUAGAAUUGUCACAGAUACUUCCACUUCGAUAUGAGUAAUGCAAUGAACAACACCAAAAAACAAACAAACCAACCUAGGCUGGGUGCAGUGGCUCGCACUUGUACUCCUAGCACUUUGGGAGGCCAAGGCAGGCGGAUCACUUGAGGCAAGGAGUUCAAGACCAUCCUGGCGAACAUGGUGAAAUGCCAUCUCUACUAAAAAUAUAAGAAAAUUUGCUGGGCGUGGUGGCCCACACCUGUAAUCUCAAGUUACUCAGUAGGCUGAGGCGAGAGAAUCAUUUGAACCCGGGAGGCAGAGCUUGCAGUGAGCUGAGAACACACCACUGUACUCCAGCCUGGGCAACAGAGCAAGACCCUGUCUCAAAAAAAAAAAAAAAAAGGUGGAGUUACCAUCAUGAGAGAAUAUAAAGUACAAAGAUUCUAAGACUAGAAAACUUUAUUAUGGGCCGGGCAUAGUGGCUCAUGCCUGUAAUCCCAGCACUAUGGGAGGCUGAGGCAGGAGGAUCACUUGAGGCCAAAAACUCAAAACUAGCCCAGGCAACAUAGUAAAAUACCAUCUCUAGUAAAAAAAAAAAAAAAAAAAAAAUUAGCUGGAUGUGUUGGUGUCUGCUUGUAGUCCCAGCCACACAGGAGGCUGAGGCAACAUAAUUGUUUGAGCCCAGGAGUUCAAGGCUGAAGUGAGCUGUGAUGAUACCACUGCAUUCUAGCCUGAGCUACAGAGUGAAACCUUGCCUCCAAAAUAAAAAUAAACGUUUGUUACAGCCAUGGA
rnacentral:lncRNA from 1 species